CCUACGGGAGGCAGCAGUGGGGAAUUUUGGACAAUGGGCGCAAGCCUGAUCCAGCAAUGCCGCGUGCAGGAUGAAGGCCUUCGGGUUGUAAACUGCUUUUGUACGGAACGAAACGGUUCUCUUUAAUAAAGGGGGCUAAUGACGGUACCGUAAGAAUAAGCACCGGCUAACUACGUGCCAGCAGCCGCGGUAAUACGUAGGGUGCGAGCGUUAAUCGGAAUUACUGGGCGUAAAGCGUGCGCAGGCGGUUUUGUAAGACAGAUGUGAAAUCCCCGGGCUCAACCUGGGACCUGCAUUUGUGACUGCAAGGCUAGAGUACGGUAGAGGGGGAUGGAAUUCCGCGUGUAGCAGUGAAAUGCGUAGAUAUGCGGAGGAACACCGAUGGCGAAGGCAAUCCCCUGGACCUGUACUGACGCUCAUGCACGAAAGCGUGGGGAGCAAACAGGGAUUAGAUACCCUGGUAGUCCACGCCCUAAACGAUGUCAACUGGUUGUUGGGUAUUUACUUACUCAGUAACGAAGCUAACGCGUGAAGUUGACCGCCUGGGGAGUACGGCCCGCAAGGUUGAAACUCAAAGGAAUUGACGG
rnacentral:rRNA from 1 species